rnacentral:rRNA from 1 species
UUAGGAAUCUGCCUAUUAGUGGGGGACAACAUCUCGAAAGGGAUGCUAAUACCGCAUACGUCCUACGGGAGAAAGCAGGGGAUCUUCGGACCUUGCGCUAAUAGAUGAGCCUAAGUCGGAUUAGCUAGUUGGUGGGGUAAAGGCCUACCAAGGCGACGAUCUGUAGCGGGUCUGAGAGGAUGAUCCGCCACACUGGGACUGAGACACGGCCCAGACUCCUACGGGAGGCAGCAGUGGGGAAUAUUGGACAAUGGGGGGAACCCUGAUCCAGCCAUGCCGCGUGUGUGAAGAAGGCCUUAUGGUUGUAAAGCACUUUAAGCGAGGAGGAGGCUACUUUAGUUAAUACCUAGAGAUAGUGGACGUUACUCGCAGAAUAAGCACCGGCUAACUCUGUGCCAGCAGCCGCGGUAAUACAGAGGGUGCGAGCGUUAAUCGGAUUUACUGGGCGUAAAGCGUGCGUAGGCGGCUUAUUAAGUCGGAUGUGAAAUCCCCGAGCUUAACUUGGGAAUUGCAUUCGAUACUGGUGAGCUAGAGUAUGGGAGAGGAUGGUAGAAUUCCAGGUGUAGCGGUGAAAUGCGUAGAGAUCUGGAGGAAUACCGAUGGCGAAGGCAGCCAUCUGGCCUAAUACUGACGCUGAGGUACGAAAGCAUGGGGAGCAAACAGGAUUAGAUACCCUGGUAGUCCAUGCCGUAAACGAUGUCUACUAGCCGUUGGGGCCUUUGAGGCUUUAGUGGCGC